UGGUACUUAAGAUAACGUAAGGGAAAAAAAUGAUAUUACCUUACUAUAAGUGUUGUCCAACAAACUGGUGCCAGAAGACUCGGUAACGCCAGAAACGCAAACGUUAGUCGUCCUAAUCAGGCGUAAAGGGUGAGUAGGCUGCUUUUAAAGUUAUUGAUUAGAAAGCUCUAACCUAAAUAACAAGGUUUUAAUAAACGGAAUUAUUUAAUUAGUUAGUAAUUAAUAAUGAAUAAAAGCUAGAAUCAAAAAGAGGAUAGGCCGAACAAUGUUUAGAGUAGGAAUGAAAUCCUUAGAUACUAAAUGGAGUACUAAAGGUGAAAACUUUUAUCUAAUAAUGAUUGACGCUGAGGAACGAAGGUGAGAAUAGAAAAUAGGAUUAGAGACCCAGAUAUCUCUCACUGUCAACGAUGAAUGGUAGUUGUUAGUUUUAAUAAAAACUAGUAACGAUGUUAACGCGAUUACCAUUCCGCCUUGCGAGUACG
rnacentral:rRNA from 1 species